rnacentral:tRNA from 1 species
GGUGUGGUAUAAUGGUAUUACUCUAGUCUCCAAAACUAGCAAUGGGGGUUCGAUUCCCUCCACCUCUGCCA